rnacentral:rRNA from 1 species
GACUGCGUACCUUUUGUAUAAUGGGUCAGCGACUUAUAUUCUGUAGCAAGGUUAACCGAAUAGGGGAGCCGGAGGGAAACCGAGUCUUAAUUGGGCGUUAAGUUGCAGGGUAUAGACCCGAAACCCGGUGAUCUAGCCAUGGGCAGGUUGAAGGUUGGGUAACACUAACUGGAGGACCGAACCGACUAAUGUUGAAAAAUUAGCGGAUGACCUGUGGCUGGGGGUGAAAGGCCAAUCAAACCGGGAGAUAGCUGGUUCUCCCCGAAAGCUAUUUAGGUAGCGCCUCGUGAAUUCAUCUCCGGGGGUAGAGCACUGUUUCGGCUAGGGGGCCAUCCCGGCUUACCAACCCGAUGCAAACUGCGAAUACCGGAGAAUGUUAUCACGGGAGACACACGGCGGGUGCUAACGUCCGUCGUGAAGAGGGAAACAACCCAGACCGCCAGCUAAGGUCCCAAAGUCAUGGUUAAGUGGGAAACGAUGUGGGAAGGCCCAGACAGCCAGGAUGUUGGCUUAGAAGCAGCCAUCAUUUAAAGAAAGCGUAAUAGCUCACUGGUCGAGUCGGCCUGCGCGGAAGAUGUAACGGGGCUAAACCAU